rnacentral:rRNA from 1 species
UACAGAGGGUGCAAGCGUUGCUCGGAAUCAUUGGGCGUAAAGGGCAGGUAGGUGGUCUGAUUUGUCUGGCGGUGAAAUCCUUGAGCUUAACUCAAGAAGUGCCCCGGAAACGGUCAGACUCUGAGUCUUGGAGAGGGUUGCGGAAUUCCCGGUGUAGCGGUGAAAUGCGUAGAGAUCGGGAGGAACACCUAUGGCGAAGGCAGCUCGCUGGGACGUUACUGACGCUGAGACGCGAAAGCGUGGGGAGCAAACAGG